rnacentral:rRNA from 1 species
UACGUAGGGGGCUAGCGUUGUCCGGAAUCAUUGGGCGUAAAGCGCGUGUAGGCGGUCCGGUAAGUCUGCUGUGAAAGUCGGGGGCUCAACCCUCGGAUGCCGGUGGAUACUGUCGGGCUUGAGUACGGAAGAGGCGAGUGGAAUUCCUGGUGUAGCGGUGAAAUGCGCAGAUAUCAGGAGGAACACCAAUUGCGAAGGCAGCUCGCUGGGACGUUACUGACGCUGAGACGCGAAAGCGUGGGGAGCAAACAGG